rfam:Pygoscelis adeliae contig75093, whole genome shotgun sequence.
CUUCAGUGAACAUUCAACGCUGUCGGUGAGUUUGGAAUUCAAGUGAAAACCAUCGACCGUUGAUUGUACCCUCCAG